rnacentral:rRNA from 1 species
GAUGAACGCUGACAGCAUGCUUAACACAUGCAAGUCAACUGUGGCGGACGGGUGAGUAACGCGUAAAGAUCUUGCCUCAAGGUUAGGCACAACAUUUGGAAACGAAUGCUAAUACCUGAUACUGUGGGAGAGCGUUGCGUCACAUUAGCUAGAUGGAGAGGUAACGGCUCACAAAGGCGAUGAUGGCUAGCCGGCCUGAGAGGGCGAUCGGCCACAAGGGGACUGGGACGCGGGCCGUGCUGCAUCGGGAAGCAGCAGUGGAGAAUAUAGGACAAUAGACCAAAGUAUGAUCCAGCAAUUCGGUGUGCACGAUAAUGUUUUCGGAAGGAAGAGAGCUUUGUGUUGAGAAUCAGUACCAACAGAAGAAGUAACGGCUAAAUACGUGCCAGCAGCCGCGGUAAUAC